UUCCCACUUUCUUCAGACGUAACAUAUCUUCACCACUUUCAGUUUUGUGAUUGUAAUUUUAACUGCAAGAACCUCAUAGGAGUUAUUCCCAAAAUCGUUGUCUUAUUUUCUAAACGGAUAGAAAGCAAAAUUCGGGAAUCGAACAAUUCAUACAGAAGAGUAAUGAAAAGUAAAAUGUUAAUCCGUAGAAAGACUGCAUCUUCAAAAUUAAACUUUACUUCAAGUUGCAUGCUAAAUAUUUAACUCCUAUGGACAGUAAAAUCCUGUAUUAUAUUUUUGAAGUGAAAUCUUUUGAAGUAAUCAAGAUGUUGAGGAUGAAAUGAGAAUCUAGGAAAUUUGUCUUGAAUUAGAUUUGGGAAUAAAUGAAAGCAAUCGUUUUAAUAAAAAAUCUUAAGAGAGUAUUCAAAAUUGCGGGAACAAGAUUUUGCUGAUCAAAUUGCAUAACAAUCUACAUUAAAAUCUCGAAUCUUCAAACUCAAAUUACAAUGGCUAUUGUAAUAAUAGUAGCAUUUGGUAUAGUUUUCAAAGUUAAUUUUACCUUUUAUGGAAACUUCAUCUACUUGAAUAUCCGAGGUUAAUUAUGGACUUUUAUCUUCAACCGUUAAAGUUGACUUCUGAUAUUAUUGUGAACAUUGGAAAUGGUGUGCAAAAUAGAGUGCUUUUCCAUUCACUCAAGAUUAUAUUAAAAUCCUGAUAUAAUGUAAUCCAACAGACUAGUGAUGGUUCAAAUUUCAUGAAACUUUGCCAGUUCCUGAUAUUAUGGCAGAUUUCUGCGAAGAUGAAACUGUUCUCUCGGUCCAUUCUGAUGUAUUAUAUGAGGGAAUUAUGUGAUGGGAUUCUAAUUGCUCAAUGGAGAUGUAAUGUUUAGAAGGAGGCCAAUUUAUUCGAAGCAGUCUGAAAUGAUUUCAAAAUCGCCCAGCAUUUCUUGGAAGGUUUAAUCAUGGAACUUCUUGGAACCACGUAUUAUCAUAUAGAACCAUAUCACCUCCGACGGAAAAGAUUUCGAGAAGAACGUUCCCUCUGCCACGAACAAUCAUGCAACAAUUUCUACGCCGUCACUGAAUGCUCAAAUUACAUCCCACAAGGAAAUCUAAAGUACUCUUUUUCCUCGAAGAACUCAUUAUUGCCACCGUUAUACAGCUGGAGAAAAGCGUAUUCCGAUAUUGUGCAUCUACUUUUACGU